AGGAGGAUCCAGGCCCCCGCCGCGGUGUCCUUUGCUCGGCGCCCGCCCCUGGCCGCGGCCCUUCCUCCGGGAGAGAUCGGGAGUGGCCAGCCAGCCUUUGGGGCCUCGCCCUGUGUUCCUCGGGGUUCCCUCUCUCUCUCCCUUUCCGUCUCCCAGUUGCUCCCUGCCCUGCUACAAGAAGCACCAAGGUAGGCCCCGACCUGCGGAACUCCCUGCUGCAGGCAUGACGAGGGGAAACAUCAGGUUUCGUCCCGGGAGUGGGUUCGCCUCCAUAUCAAUAUUGCCUCCUUUGGGCCAAGGCCCUUGUUGGCAUCACCAUCUACCGAGCAAUGUACCCCCAAAGUAGACCCAACUCAGCUGCGAAAUGUUCCCCAAGACGAUCCCAGAACAAAACCAUCAAGUGCGGAAGGAGGCCCUUUUGCUGUGGAUGACAUCUUGACGAAGAUGACGAAGGCGACAAGGUCCCGCUCCAUAACCUCCAGCGCUUAGACAAUCUCGGGACGCCGAGAGAGAAGGCAGCUUGUCUUGGGAGCCAUUCUGAAGACCUGGGUCGGAAGAAAGAAAGAAAGAAAGAAAGGGCAGCCGCGGCUAGAAGGCCCGAAGAGACAGGCUCCGUUUCUGAAGCAGAAAUGGCAAAGCCUUGUGAAACGGAUGGAAGAAAUAAAGGCAAAAUUUUUGAAAAUUUCCACAGCUUUUUCUAAAGGGACUAGCACUGAAUUCAAGUCAACGUGAAGAAAGAAACAAAAGGUCGAGAGACAGAGGACGGAAGAUGCUUGAAGACACCCUCGCAAGGACACCGCCUGCCUCCCAAAAAAGGUCGUUUUCAGGGUAAUUGGUGUAAGGGUAGGCAUUUAAUGUCUAUCUUUGCAUUAAAAAAAGGGUUACCUUUGCACACGGUUCCCCUCGCGUGUGGCAUCGAAGAAGUCCCACUCGGGAACGGACGGGUCCUCCCUUUGUUCUAGGCAGAUGAUGGGUCUUCCUAUACGGGCCGUAGGGGUCACAGCUUGGGGGUCAGCGGGGGGCCCCGCCCUGGCAUCGCAGGGGGCAGCACACAUUACGGGCAUUUUAAGAUGUCCUUGCAACUUAGAAAUAAAAAUAUCAAUACCUUAACUCACUAACAUCCUACUAACACCAUUCUAAAUAGGGUACCCUGCCCUUUUAAAUAGGACUGUGUUCUGCCUGAUGGCAAGAACCAAGCUGGGAAGGGAGGGGGCCUCCUGGCCCCCCAUAAAAGGGCCCCCAUGGAAGGACAUUGCAAAAGGCCCCUAAGGUGUCCUGAGAGCAGCCUCUUGGUCCUCAGUGUUCCCCACGGUGCCAGGGCUGGGCCCCUCGCUCUCCCCCAACCCAUGGACCCUGCCGCUUGUAUAUCAUCCGUCCAGGGCCAACGGACGCCCCCUCCCUCCCCGGGCGGAGCUUCGAGGCCACACUCAAGGGGAGACCAGAGCCGUGUGCCUCAUGCCAACGCCUAGCACGUGGCGAACCUUUUUUUUUACUGCAAACAUAGGCAUCAUGAUUGUGAUUUUUGUUAAUUCCUUUUAAAUUUAAUUGUUUGUAUUCGAUAGCAUGGUAGGCUGGUUUUAUAUCAGUGAGCCGCCCCGAGUUCCUCUGGGGAGACGGUGGCAGGGUACAAAAAUAAAAUUAUUAUUAUUAUUAUUGAUUCGAGGCACCUGGAAAAAAAUACCAGGAAGCAGAUAAAAUUAUUAUUAUUAUUACUGAUUCGAGGCACCUGGAAAAAGAAAUACCAGGAAGCAGAUAUUAUUAUUAUUAUUAUUGAUUCCAGGAAAAAGAAAUACCAGGAAGCAGAUAAAAUUAUUAUUAUUGUUAUUGUUGUUGUUAUUAUGUAGGACCCCCUUUUAUUUAUGUAAGGCCACACACCCAGGGGACCACUAUUCCUAAUUAAAGCCUGGUUAAAGGGGAUCCUCUAUUCUUAAAGUUAGGCGUAUAGAGAUCUCCUAUCCAGAAACGAACGCGGCCUGCCCUAUAGAGAUCUGUUAAACCAAGGCGGCCUGCCCUAUAGAGAUCUCCUAUUUCACGUAAUACCAGGCAAUAUGGAGAUCCCUGGUUUUUUUAACCAUUAAAUCCCUUACGUGGGGAUAUCCCUGGUUUUUUUUAACCGUUAAAUCCCUUACGUGGGGAUAUCCCUGGUUUUUUUUAACCGUUAAAUCCCUUACGUGGGGAAAUCCCUGGUUAUUUUAACCAUCAAAUCCCUUACGUGGGGAGAUCCCUGGUUAUUUUAACCUUUAAGUCCCUAACGUGGGGAAAUCCCUGGUUCUUUUAAUCUUUAAGGCCAGAUGUGGGGAUUUCCUUGCUUUUAACCCGUAAGGCCAGCCAUGGGGAGAUAUCUUAGGCUGUUUUCACGAAAAGUCAGGUAUAGAUGCACUUUUUUCUCUCCCGUUCCAUGUGCCUGGACUCCCGGAGGGCUCCUGCCGGACACCGUCUCCCAUCGGCCGAGAGGGAUCCUUCUUGUCUGGGAAGGAUCUGCAACACAGGUAAAAAGAAGAUUCCGGGAAGGAGAUUCUACAGCGGAGCCCUUAAAGCCAGGUGAGACACUCCUUCCAGCCUCCACGGCUGCCUUGCACACACACACACACACACAUGACACACACAACACACAUACACAUGUACAGCUGGGGUCCACGGGGACUCUUCCCCAAUAGAUCGGGGACUCCCACUCCGGCGAUUGGCCAUUGUAAAUGCCUUGAAGCAGUUUGGGGCUUCCGGCCAAGCGCUUGCAAAGAGAAUCCAUUCAAGGUUGGACCCCCUUUUAAAGGGCCUGGCACGUGGUAUUUAUUCCUGGCACGUGGAAAACUGCAUUUGUAAGGCAAACCCUCGUUAAAGGAGGUUUGCAAUUAAUUUAAAACCAGGCUUCUGAGGGACCCGCUGCGUUUAAAGCCAAACCUAGCAGGUGGGAACCCCUUUGGUUAACGCAAGGUGAGGGACCCUCUAUUUUUAAUAGGAUGCCUGGGAGAAUCUUAACCUAAAUGCAGGCCUAUGGGCUACAGCCUAUUCUGCAUAGCCAGGCAUGAGGGGACCCCAGAUUAUUAACUUGAGGCCUGGGAAAAGGAGAUUUUUGUAUUUAUUUAUUACAAUAUUUAUAUCCCGCCCUCUCUCCCCUUAAAAGGGGACUCAGAGCAGCUUACGUUAUAUUUACAUAUUUAUUUAUUACAAUAUUUAUAUCCCGACCUCUCCCCUUAAAAGGGGACUCAGAGUGGCUUACAAGUUAUAUUUACUUAUUUAUUUAUUACAAUAUUUAUAUCCCGCCCUCUCUCCCCUUAAAAGGGGACUCAGAGCGGCUUACAAGUGAUAUUUACAUAUUUAUUUACUACAAUAUUUAUAUCCCUCCCUCUCUCUCCUUAAAAGGGGACUCAGGGCGGCUUAACAAUAAGACGCAUAUAUAAAAAACCAUACAGUGCAAUAUAAAUCAUCAUUAACUUACAUCAGUAUUCAUAAAACACAUUAUAAAAUACAGAUAGGUGUGUUCAGUUCAAAUCCAUUCAAGGUAUACGUGGACCCCCUUUUAAUGCCUACCUUUCCACGUGGAAAACUCCCAUUUGUAAGGCAAACCCUCGUUAAAGGAGGUUUGCAAUUAAUUUAAAACCAGGCUUCUGAGGGACCCGCUGCGUUUAAAGCCAAACCUAGCAGGUGGGAACCCCUUUGGUUAAUGCAAGGUGAGGGACCCUCUAUUUUUAAUAGGAUGCCUGGGAGAAUCUUAACCUAAAUGCAGGCCUAUGGGCUACAGCCUAUUCUGCAUAGCCAGGCAUUGGGGGACCCCAUAUGAUGAAUUUGCAGCCUGGUAAAAGGAGAUUUUUGUAUUUAUUAACUUAUUACAUUUAUAUCCCGCCCUCUCUCCCCUUAAAAGGGGACUCAGAGCGGCUUACGAGUUAUAUUUACUUAUUUAUUUAUUUAUUACAAUAUUUAUAUCCCGCUGUCUCCCCUUAAAGGGGACUCAGACGGCUUACGAGUUAUAUUUACAUAUUUAUUUAUUUAUUACAAUAUUUAUAUCCCGCUGUCUCUCCCCUUAAAGGGGACUCAGAGUGGCUUACAAGUUAUAUUUACAUAUUUAUUUAUUACAAUAUUUAUAUCCCUCCCUCUCUCCUUAAAAGGGGACUCAGGGCGGCUUAACAAUAAGACGCAUAUAUAAAAAACCAUACAGUGCAAUAUAAAUCAUCAUUAACUUACAUCAGUAUUCAUAAAACACAUUAUAAAAUACUGAUAGGUGUGUUCAGUUCAAAUCCAUUCAAGGUAUACGUGGACUCCCUUUUAAUGCCAACCUUUCCACGUGGAAAACUCCAUUUGUAAGGCAAACCCUCGUUAAAGGAGGUUUGCAAUUAAUUUAAAACCAGGCUUCUGAGGGACCCGCUGCGUUUAAAGCCAAACCUAGCAGGUGGGAACCCCUUUGGUUAACGCAAGGUGAGGGACCCUCUAUUUUUAAUAGGAUGCCUGGGAGAAUCUUAACCUAAAUGCAGGCCUAUGGGCUACAGCCUAUUCUGCAUAGCCAGGCAUUGGGGGACCCCAUAUGAUGAAUUUGCAGCCUGGUAAAAGGAGAUUUUUGUAUUUAUUAACUUAUUACAUUUAUAUCCCGCCCUCUCUCCCCUUAAAAGGGGACUCAGAGCGGCUUACGAGUUAUAUUUACAUAUUUAUUUAUUUAUUUAUUACAAUAUUUAUAUCCCGCUGUCUCCCCUUAAAGGGGACUCAGACGGCUUACGAGUUAUAUUUACAUAUUUAUUUAUUUAUUACAAUAUUUAUAUCCCGCUGUCUCUCCCCUUAAAGGGGACUCAGGGCAGCUUAACAAUAAAACGCAUAUAUAAAAACCAUACAGUGCAAUAUAAAUCAUCAUUAACUUACAUCAGUAUUCAUAAAACACAUCAUAAAAUACAGAUAGGUGUAUUACAUACACUGUAUCAUUAGCAUUGCACAAUAUUAGCAUUAUAUACUACAUUGCAUUAUACCACUAUACAGAAACAUUAUUAGCAAUAUUACAUUUAAUAUAUAAUAUGUAAUUCAUAUUAUAUUGUAUCAUUGUUAGUAUUAUAUUGCAUUAUUUAUUUAUUUGCUAGAUGUAGAGUCAUCUACAUAAAUAGGCCAGCGAAUAUUUAUUUAUUUAUUUACAGCAUUUUACUGGGCUGGCCUCGAACUCAUGACCUCCUGGUCAGAGUGAUUUGUUGAUAUUUAUUAUUCAUUUACAGCAUUUAUAUUCCGCCCUUCCUUCUCACCCCGAAGGGGACUCAGGGCGGAUCACAUGGCACAUAUAGGCAAACAUUCAAUGCCUUUUAACAUAGAACAAAGACAAACAAACAGGCUCCGAGCGGGCCUCGAACUCGUGACUUCCUGGUCAGAGUGAUUCAUUGCAGUUAAUUGCAGCUGGCUUGCUUUCCAGCCUGCGCUGUUGGAUAAUAAGGAGGCAUUAUGGAAAAGCCUAUUAAACAUCAAAUUAGUUGAUGAUUUUACAAAUUAAGCACCAAAACAUCAUUUGACAGAAAAAGUAGUUCAAUAUGCAGUAAUGCUAUGUAGUAAUUACUGUAUUUACGGAUUUAGCACCAAAACAUCACGACGCAUUGAAAACAUGGACUACAAAAAUGCGUUGAAUAAUCCAGAAUGUUGGAUAAGAGAGUGUUGGAUGAUUAUACAAUAUAAAUUAGAAUAGCAUGUUAUUGGGGGAGGAGCAUCUUGGUUAUUAGAUGUUUUUAUUAGUUAUUGAUAUUAGUAUAGAUAUGACAUUGAGUAUAUAUUAUCCUAGCACAAUGUUAAUAUUAGUUAUUCAUAUUAGUCUCAAUAUGACAUUAAUAGAGUACAUUAUUAUCCUAGCACAAUGUUAUUAGAUGUUAAUAUUAGUUAUUGAUAUUAGUCUCCAUAUGACAUUAAUAGAGUAUAUUAUUAUUCUAGCACAAUGUUAUUACAUAGGACCAUGUUGUUGCUAGGGGGAGGGCCCCCCCACUGAUUGUAUUAUUAGUAUUAUGUUGUUGCUAGGGGGAGGGCCCCCCAACUGAGAUCCCCUGUCAUUAAUGUGUCAGACCAGGCAUUUCACUCCUACCUUUGCAUCAGAAAGCAGGCUCCCUGUGCGCUAGGCCUUCCUUUGAGGAACACAUUCACAGCUCCGCUUGAGUGUGGCAUUGAGGCCCCACUCAGGGACGAGCGGGUCCUCCCUUUACCCUGGGCAGAUCGUGGGGGGUGGGCGGAUCUCCCUAGACGGGCAGGGGGUCGCGGCUGGCGGGACAGCGGGAUAUAAAAAUAUAAAUAUAUAUAUUAAAACCCUUGCACCCAAGGAAACAACUCUGGGGACCCGAGCGGCUGCUCCCAGCUCACGUCACGGGCAUUUUAAACAUCUCGUAGCAGCUCAGAUUAAUACCUGAACUAACCGUAACCUGCUAACCCUACUAACCCAUUUCUAACUAGAGCAGGAAUUUUAAAUAGGGCUGUUUUUGCCUGUUGGCAAGAACCAAGCUGGGAGGGGGCCUCCGGGCCUCGGGUGGGAAGAACCCUAACCCUGUCUCUGCCCUGCGCUGGGAGCGCCCCCCCUCGGGACCCCAGUGUUUGGUCCCCGCUCUCCCCCAAUCCGACGGCCUAGAAAGCCCCUCCGCCAUCCGCCCAGGGCCAACGGACAGCCCUCCCUCCCCGGCAGCUGCGUUCCUCAUGCAACAGGGAGCCUGGUUCUGGAUGCAAACGUGGGACCCCCUUAGGACCCCCUUUUCUCUGUGCAGGGACCCCCGCUCCCCAUAAAUAAAUGCCUGGUGGAAGGGGAUCCUAGUACAAAAAGCCACAGUUCCCAAGAGCCCCCAAAAGCGAGAUGCUCCCUUGGUUCAGCCCUUCUGACACUUGUUUUCUCCCUUGUUCUAUGUCUCCGGAAUCGCCGAGGGAGGGGCUCCUCCUGGACAAGAGCCAAGGACGGACAGAUGGAUGGACGGACGGACGUAAGGAGAUCCCAGAGAGCAGGACGCCUUGCCGUUCUGGCUGAUGAGCUCGACCCCUUUCCAACAAUGUCAGCGUUCCAGAAUAAAACUCUUCCCAAAAAAAGGUGUUUUCUGGUUAUUAUUCAAACGUUUAAUUUUUGACAGCCUUAAACAUCUAGAUUACAAUACAGUUUGUGCUGCUGCCUUUUAUAAACCUUGUUUUCUACAAAUAAAGUCAAGAGAAACACUUUAAGUUUUGCACUGUGCUCAGACUCAUUGUUCUGAUAUUCUGUCAUAUGGUUUUAUUAUUUAUAUCGUUUUUAAUGUAUGACUUUAUUACAUGUGACAUGGGAGCGGGGUAUAAAAAUAAAGUAUUAUUAUUAAUAAACACAAUUUUCUUGCACCCCAAGUACAUCUGGCCAUUGCCAGAGUAUUUAACACUGCCUACAUGGCACUAAAGUGUAUUUAUAUGUUGAUUGUUUCUAUUGAUUUUAUGUAAUGUUUGCUUUAUUUGCAUUGAAUUUUUGUCUGGAUGUAUCUUGUAUGCCGCUCAUCUCCAUAAAUGAGCGGGAUAGAAAUGAGGUUAAUAAUUUUACGAAUGUUUUAAUGUAACUUGAAUUUUAAAUUGAGUUGAAAUGUGAUUGUAAUUGUUUAUAACUGUUAUCUAUUUGUAAGCCACCAUGAGUCUCCUCUUAUUGGGUGAGAAGGUCUGGGAAGAAAUACUGUCAUAAAUAAAUAAAAUAUUCUGUGUCCAGGUUGCUUCAUGGGUUGACUUCUCUGGCAGGAUUAAUCUGCAGAGCCUUUCCUGUGUGAAAGUACACAGGGACUACUAACAAGCAUGGAGCAGGGAAGGCACUGCAGACACUCCUGCGCAUGCGCGGCCUGCUCCCUAGUAGAAACGGCCCCGCCUACUACAGCCAUCCUUUUCCCUUCUGCGGCUGCGCGGCCUGUUCCGUAUUUGAGGGAACUUGGCCCCGCCCACUACAGGCACCCCUUUCCUUUCUGCGGCUGCGCGGCCUGUUCCAUAUUUGGGGGAACUUAGCCCCCACCCACUGCAGGCAUUCCCUUCACUUCUGCGUCUGCGCGGCCUACGUCACAGGGCGGCAAGAUGGUUGCCCGGCCCGCAGUGGCCCAUGUACAUGCUGGACUACGGCGGCCUCAAUGUUCCGCUUCCGGGAGCCAUGAAUUAUUCGGACCUCAGUUUCUGAACCAGAACCUCCGAACAAAACAAAACAAAAGAAAUAAUGAACGGUGUGUAAUUUUCGUUUGUACAAAGUGUAUAUUAUUCCAAUAUGUAUUGAUGCCUUUCAGUGUUUCCAAUGAUUUUUACACUAUAUUCCUGCCGCCAGGGCCUUUUUAAAUAAAAAAAGAAUAAGAAGGGUUGCCUUGCUCUGAAAAAUCAAA